rnacentral:lncRNA from 1 species
GCAGUUUCCUUCUUAGUUUCUUUUCUGUUGAUCCUACGCUCUUUUCGCUGCGCUUUCUGGGUUCCUGGAGGUCCAAUUAGUCAGGAACGGGUCAUACAAAUCGAAUCUGAGACCAAAAUUUUUUGGUCGAAAAAUGAAAAAAAAGUAAGGCUAACACCCAUACAUAAAGCUGGAGAUACAGAAGAACCAAAAAACUAUCGACCCAUAUCAGUAACAAACAGCAUGGCGAAAAUUCUAGAAAAGCCUGGCAAAAGUACACAAGACGCUAUACACCGACUAAUAACAUGCAUACAAAGCAGUACUGAUAAUGGCACGAAAGUAAUAGCAACUUACCUGGACCUCGCUAAAGCCUUCGAUACUAUACCACACGAACAACUACGCAACAAACUCGAGGCAAUAGGAAUACGAGGAACAGCGCAAAAAUGGUUUCGGAGCUACCUAACAAAGAGGAAACAAAAAAAAAAAAAAUAGGAAACAUAUACAGUGAUCAAACCAAGAUAGUCUGCGGAAUACCACAAGGAACUAGUCUCUCAGCUGUACUCUUCAAUAUCUAUAUCAAUGAUAUUAUCUCCCUGGACCUCCAAUCAACAAUAAUUGCUUAUGCGGACGACGCGGCACUAAUAACAGUGAAGAACACUUGGCAAGAAACCUACUACACAGCGACAAAAGACCUGAAGACAAUACAAGACCAUCUCAAACACCACCGUUUAACACUGAAUACUAACAAAACUACAUAGACAACAUUUAAAACAACACCAAACGAAAAACUUCAAAUAUUAAAUAUGCAUAUAAUACUUCAUACAUGUCAUCAUGACACAGAACCAUGCAGAUGCGAGAAAUUGAUCAAGAAUACACAACAAAAAUACUUAGGGAUAAUAAAAGGUGAGCAGCUAAAAUGGAAGGAGCACAUCAACUUCACUGUUAAAAAAUUAAGAAAACUGAUGCAUCCUCUGUACAACCUGAGCCACAUCGUCAACACACACACGAUAAGAGCAAUAUACUUCGCUCUAGUACACUCGAUCGUACAAUAUGGAAUCACAGCGUGGGGUAGCGCCUAUCAAAAAGCAAUUCAACCACUCCAACAAGCACAGAAAGCAAUAAUAAAAAUUGCGCUACAUAAACCAAAAGAUUAUCCUACAGAACAACUCUACAUGGAAAACAAAAUCCUCGACCCCAGGCAGCAGUAUCUUAAAGACAUAAUGAUCAGACUUCAUAAAAACCCAAAUGAGAUAGCGUUAAGGCAACGACAACAUUCCUACCACACAAGAGCAGAAGAAAUGGGAAAGCUGGAAAUUGCAAAAGCACACACCAAACAUGGACAAUAAAUGGAAGAAUAUAGUGCAAAUAAAGUAUACAACAGACUACCAUCAGAAAUUAAAAAAAUGACAAUGUAUUCCUUCAAAAAAUCGAUAACACCAUGGCAACUACUGACAGAGAGAACACUAUAUGAAGAACUAACAAAUCAUUGUAUAUAAAACUUGAAAAGCACGAAAUGGAACAAUGAUGGAAGAAACAGAGACCGGAGAAAACCUAGAAAGAAAAAAGGAUGGAAAAAUGAAGAAAUGAAACACCUACCUACUAAGACACAACUUGUUAUGUAAUAUAAUAUAUGAGGAUAGAAUACACAUCACACACCACACUUAGGCACACACAAAAUUGCAUAUAGAAACACCUCAUAACCCUGCGAACGAGUUCACACUCAUGCAGGGACAUUUCACAUGAGAACACAAAUGUAUAAAUACGGCUAAAGGUUACAAUAAAACUAAAUCUAUAUCUCAA